UUGGAAUCCUGGGGUGGAUGUAGUUAAUCAUCACAGUAUGCAUGAACUCUGCAUAAAUUAGGAUUUGGUAGGAACUGUGAACUAAAUAAAGAUUUAACUGAAAAUUGUACUUUAAAUUCAGACUAUCAUAGACUGUCGGGCUAGGAUCUGUGCUUUUAUAAGGGCUUAUUGUCAGAUACUCACGAAUGCAGAGAAGGAGGAGAAAGGAGAUAUCAUGUCUGGUAGAAUUUCUCCAGUUUUAAAGGGAUGACUCAGGAUAUUUCCAAGGCCCAUUCACCUCUCAUCAGCAGAAAGGAAUAUGAAAUAUAUGAAAGUUCUGAUGUCCUCAGAAGGACUCUGGAGGAGUCUUGAGUAAGUAGACUACUGAGGGAGGCAGGGUUGGAACUGACCUUGGUAAAGUUUGGCACUGCGGCAACAUUGUGACGUGUGAGGAACACAUUGUUUCUCAACAGGGGAUGAGCCCAGAGCCAGAGAAUGGUGCUGAUUUUAAAGCAUUCAGAGUCUGGAUCCUAAUAGGAGAGGUGGGAAGAAACCUAGGAGCAGCCAUGCUGAACAUUUGUGUGCUCUGGUUGAGAACAGAAGACAGAAUGUACAUUCCAAGGACAGGGGACGGGGUGAGAGGCCUCCUAUUGCCUGGGUCCAGCUUGAGGGUCAACUGGCAGUCAUUUCCUCUCAGUAAGCUUGAAGGUCAACUGGCAGUCUUUCCUUUCAAUGACCUCCUCCAACAAGGCAGCCCGGGUGGCUCAGCGGUUUAGCGCCACCUUCAGUCCAGGGCCUGAUCCUGGAGACCCG